rnacentral:rRNA from 1 species
UGCGUAGGCGGGUUUCUAAGUCAGAGGUGAAAGCCUGGAGCUCAACUCCAGAACUGCCUUUGAUACUGGAAGUCUUGAGUAUGGCAGAGGUGAGUGGAACUGCGAGUGUAGAGGUGAAAUUCGUAGAUAUUCGCAAGAACACCAGUGGCGAAGGCGGCUCACUGGGCCAUUACUGACGCUGAGGCACGAAAGGCGUGGGGAAGCAAACA